GAUGAAAAUAGCCCAUCUUACUGUACAUUAGCAAUCUCCCAGAAGUGACCACCUCUAAACUCCAGACAGCGGACAGUUUUACAAGCACAAAGAAGCUUCUAAACAUGGUGAUUUUACCUCUGUAAAUUGACAUUUCCGGAAAUAUGGAAAGCCACACCCUCAAUAUUAAAGUUAAUAGUAAUCAUUAAAUUAAUAAGAACACUUAGAACAGUUAUUAUAGUAUAAUAAUGAUGCUAGGCCUAGUAUUUAUAGAUUAUACAGUAGCUAUAGCUUAAUGCUUGACCUAAACCUGAUCUCUGAAACGGGGAGGUCACAACACAACCUCUGAGAAGAGGACAACCUCUGAAUAAAGGACAAUAGCUGACUUCCCAAAGUGUCCGCUCUGCGGAGGUUUGACUGUAAUCGUUCAAUUAAUUAUCCUUAUUAUAAGUACAUUGUAUAUCUUUUCAAAUAUGGUUAUAUUAAGCUACUGUGUAAUAAUGUAAUAGUGUCUGAAAAUUUGCAUGGAAAUGUACAUGUACACAUUAUGUCCGUUAUAGUUUUUUAUUUUUUAGGGUGUCAUGCCAUUUCCAAUGCCAUGGUAUGGGCAAACAGGCACAAUCUUAAUGACUGCAUUCUAUAUACAGUGACUUAUCCAUGCAACAAAUGUGCUCAACUUAUUAUCCAGUCUCGUAUGAGUCAUGUCCAUUACAUGAACAAGUGGCAGUGUGAUGGCUCAGAGACCACUUACUCUCAAAAGCUAUUGAGUGAAGCUGGGAUAUCGUGCAGAGAGUAUCUUCCAAUGAAAGACAUUGAGAUUGAUUUUAGAAGAAUGGAUCCUGCUCUUUUUGAUGGGUCGAGUGCUUUAUCAAAACUAUAGUAACAGUAUUAAUUUUUAAAUCAAUUAUUAUUAAUAUUUUUAAUCCUGAUUGAAUUAUUAUUUAUUUUACUAUUUAUUAUAGCAGGACUAGAAAAUCUGGUGAGACUACCUUUUAAAUUUUAAGCAUGUAUAGAAAUUAUUUUGUAUGCAAUUGUACAUUAUUUUUAAUUUAUUUCUGGUUUGUUACAGUUUACAUUGCAAAAUUUGCAUUAUAUGUGUAGAGAUUCACAUUAUGCAUUUGGAA